rnacentral:rRNA from 1 species
GAUGAACGCUGGCGGCGUGCCUAAUACAUGCAAGUCGAGCGAACGGACGAGAAGCUUGCUUCUCUGAUGUUAGCGGCGGACGGGUGAGUAACACGUGGAUAACCUACCUAUAAGACUGGGAUAACUUCGGGAAACCGGAGCUAAUACCGGAUAAUAUUUUGAACAGCAUGGUUCAAAAGUGAAAGACGGUCUUGCUGUCACUUAUAGAUGGAUCCGCGCUGCAUUAGCUAGUUGGUAAGGUAACGGCUUACCAAGGCAACGAUGCAUAGCCGACCUGAGAGGGUGAUCGGCCACACUGGAACUGAGACACGGUGCAGACUCCUACGGGAGGCAGCAGUAGGGAAUCUUCCGCGAUGGGCGAAAGCCUGACGGAGCAACGCCGCGUGAGUGAUGAAGGUCUUCGGAUCGUAAAACUCUGUUAUUAGGGAAGAACAUAUGUGUAAGUAACUGUGCACAUCUUGACGGUACCUAAUCAGAAAGCCACGGCUAACUACGUG